GCGCCGGUGGUGUACGGUACACACCCCAUAAUCAUAAUCUUUACAGAUCUUUAAUGGGGAACCCGGGGUUCGACUCCCCGCCGGUGCA